UACGAGGGGGCAAGCGUUGUUCGGAAUUAUUGGGCGUAAAGGGUGCGGUAGGUGGUUCGGCAAGUCGUUUGUGUGAAAUCUUCAGGCUCAACUUGAAGUCUGCACAAGAAACUGCCGGGCUUGAGUAUGGGAGAGGUGAGUGGAAUUUCCGGGUGUAAGCGGUGAAAUGACGUAGAUAGUCGGAAAGGAACGACCUGUGGCGAAAGCGGCUCACUGGACCCAUUACU
rnacentral:rRNA from 1 species